GGCGCCGCACACCCCCUUGACUCGAAUUGGGCCGGCCUUUUUACAUCUCUUCGCUGCCCCCUUCCUCGUGCGACUCGCCCGUUCCUCCACAGAUAAGCUUUCCUCUCUCGUGCGGCGAUCCCCUUUUCCUCCUUCGUGCGACAGAUCCUACUCCGGCAAGAGACCGCCGCCCUUGUGGCCAGCAUCUCCAUCGUCGGCGUCCGCGUUGUCCAGGGCUCCGUCAAGCUCGGCGUCAUCUAGGGUUCCGGCAAGCCCGGCGUCGUCUAGGCUUCCGCCAAGCUCGGCGUCAUCUAGGUCCUCGUCAAGCCGGCAUCCACAAGGUAACGGCCCCAAUUCCCCCGCUAUGUUCCUUCCUCUCUGUGUGGUACCGCAAGAUCGAGGCUAUUUAGUUGUGUUAGUGUCUUUUCCGGUGUUGCUACGGUUUGCAGAAUGUGGUCUUGUACAUGGCAGUUCUGAUUUGGUGAAUCUGAGUCUAGACUAGGGGGUUGCCUUCACAGAUUGGAUUUCAAGGCAUGAUGCAGCAUGAUGAUGAUAGGGGGGUUAUGUGUUCAUGUGCUUUUGCCUUGGGAUUUUGUGUGUUUCUGUUGAUGAUGCUAUGGGGUUUGUGUAGCAUGAUGGAGAAGUUUUUAUCUCCUGUUUUAUAUGUUCUCUUAGUUUCUGUAAUGUGUAGCAGCAUCAGGGACUAGUUCAGUUGACUUGUUAGGAUGUAUUUUCCCGAGAAGCAAGGACCUAUCAACAUGUUAACCAACUAAAAUUACUUAAAUUUUUGUGUGCUGGUUCGAUCAGUAGUAGUGGUCUGCUCUAUUUCGUGUUGUCGGUGCAGCUUCUUCUGUUUUGUUGUUAAUUAAGAAAAACCAAUUGCUGGACUAGCCACUAGGGGCAAAAGAUAGCAAUCAACAUGCACUUGUGUAGAUGUGGCGGAUGCUUCCGGAUCCAGGGUCCUGGCAAGUUCUCAUCAUUCUCUUCUCUGAAUUUAAGGUUUCAGCACCAACCCAGCAAGUGGAUGCACAAACAGUUUUGUCAUGUGAACAGGUUCUCUUUGUUGUCUGAGAGUUGUGUGCGAUGUGUAGUAGUGGCAGUUUCUAUUUGUUCAUAUGUUUUGUCAUGUGAGCACGCAUCUAUCAACAUUUGCAGUUAUAUUGUAUUAAGUAAUUUAUAAGCAAAGUUUGAUCUUGCUUAGGCAAGCAUGAUAAGUUGGUUGCAUAAGUCAUUGGAGCAUAUAUCAAAUAUCUGUAUAGAUUUAGCUACUUUGUUCCUAUUGCUGCUUGUUGUUUAAUCUGAAGCUCAUAUCUCAUUUUUGUUAAUCUGAUGCUUACUAUAGUAGCUAGUUUUCUUGUGCCCUUUUUGUUUUGCCUAAGAGUGAUGCUAUAAGGAAACGACUAGGGAAUAGAUAAUGCGAAUAAUGCAUUCCCAGGAAGAGAGUGCUUGCUGUUUCAAGAUCGAUGAACUUUUCACAUCAUUUUUAUAGAUGAUACCUGCUAAUUCACUGUUUUGUUUUUUCUCUUGAAGGAAAACCACUCUUCUUUCUUAAUUACAAUAUACCAUAAAUAAUAUUUGUUCUCCUCGGUAGCUUAGAAAUAAAUGGUUCAACAAACAUUAGCCAUUAUUUAGUUCUUGAAAUCAGCCAACAAAAUUAAUAGUAGUUCUGAAAUUCUGUACGCCGACUCUCAUUUCUGUUCGGUGCUUAUCCUUGUGUAGAUAUGUUGUAUAAAAGUCGAGAAAGCAUUUUUUCUGAUGGACUGGUGUUAGCUCUGGUGAUAUUUGUUGUAGGUUACAACUAGCAGGUAUACUUGGAUGCUUUUUUUCAUGUAGAUAUGUGUGCACUGGCGUUAUUUGUAGCACUUCAGAACUAGUACCUGUACCUUGACCUUUUUUUACAUGAUGGAUAACCUUUGUGUGCUACUCUUUUCGCAUAUGUAUUGUUUGGGUGCUUAUCACAUUCACAAUUUGUAAACGAUGUAUUCCACAAACAUUAUUCAGGGAACACUAUCUACGAACAUUAUUUUAGGGAACAUUAUUGAAGGAACAUUUUUGGAGGAACAUUACUUAGGAACAUUAUUUAUUUUGAAGAACAGUUUUUGACUUCACAUAAUAUUUUUAAAUUUUGCAUAGUUAUUUGGGGACAUUCAUCGGGGAACAUUAUUUGGGGAACAUUACUUUGGGAACAUUAUUUAGCUAACAUUAUUAAGGGAACAUUUUUCUAAGAAAAAUUGUUGGCUCCAGCGAACAUUAAUUAAUUUUGUUUGAAAACAAUGUUCUCAGGAAAAGUUACAACCUGCAACUUGUUUAGGCUUUUACCAACAUUAUUCUUCGUUUUAUGGGAACAUUUUGCAAGGAAUUUCUUUACUCUAGGGAACGUUAUUUUAUUUAUAGAACAUUUUAGAGUUUAGAGAUAGUUUUUAAAUAUACCUAGAACAUCUUCCAUGGAACAUUAUUUAGGGAACAUUUUUCAAGGGACAUUUAUGAGGGAACAUUAUGUACGGAACAUUAUUCGGGGAACAUUAUUUAGGUAACAUUAUCAAAGGAACCUUUUGAAAGGAAAAGUUAUUGACUCUAGGGAACAUUAUUUAUUUUGAAGAACAUUUUCUGACUUCAAAGAAUAUUUUCAAAAUAUAUGUAGUACAUUUUCCAGGGAACAUUAUUCAAGGAACAUUUUCCAAGGGACAUUUAUGAGGGAACAUUAUUUUAAAAACAUUUUCCCACGAACAUUAUUCAGGUAACAUUAUGAAGGGAACAUUUUUGCAGCUAACUUGAACAAGUGAUAUAUUUUCGAAGUAACAUUGUUUAUAAAACUUUUUUCCAGCUAACAUUAUUGAGGGGAACAUUAAUUAUGCAACCUUUAUUCAGGGAACAUUUUGCACGGAAAAUUUGUUGACUCCACAAAACAUUAUUUAAUUCGAAGAACAUUUUACGGAUAUCAUUAAAGAACAUUUUGUUUAAUUGUCCGUACCAAACAAAAUGCAUGCACCUGCCCGGAGCAAAGAAAAAUAACAAAAAAGAAAGAGGGCAAUGAACCAUGUCCCCUGUGACCUCAUUCAUACGGAACAUUUUUUUUGUAAUAAGUGCUCUUAUAGAUUAUUCAUUUUGACAGAGCUUAGACUAACAGUUUGUUCCUUUCUAAAACUAUGUAGGUCAAAAUGCCUGUAUUCAAGGAAAAACAAUGGAUACUGAUUGUUGCUAAAUUCAGAGUCAAAUUGAUUGAUAUUAUUAAUCCGUACUACAGUGGUGAUACAUUUCUACCGACAGUUAGUUCACUAAUUUACAACUUCAAGGCUUUGUUCGCUGCCACAUACGGAAAUACUAAUUCUUUUAACAUAGGAAAUUUUGAGUCAACAUUUGUACCAGCUCCCAAGGUCAAUUUCAGGCGCCUUUUUUGAAUGGAACUCUCCCCUGUACUUAUAACCCUGAUAAGCAACUUUUGUGCUCUAUCUCCACAAAUAACAGUUACAAAGAAUUUAAAAUUCACCAAAUGUUCCAUCACUAUUUUUUUACAGGUAUGACUCAGGGAUUUUCCUUCUUCAAUAUUUGAGCAACUUUCUCGAAUACGCACGAGUGUGCGUAUCAUCUUAUAUAGAAGAAAGAAGGGGGGGAAGAAUCCCAGCCACCGUUGAUGUUACAAAGAUUUAAACGCUACAUAACAUCACAUCAGCACACAGCGCGGCCGAUAGUCCACCUGCGCAACAACUAACCCGACUACUCGCUGCUUGCCCACCCUGCUAGAAGCUGAAGCGUGAUGUCUACUUCACCUUUCAACAGGCCCGCGUGCUGCCAAGCUCUACCCUUCGCGACGACGCGCCUAACGACCACCUCUAGUGAUGGAGAGGCGCCAUCGAAGACAACCGCAUUCCUGUGUUUCCAAAGCUCCCAAAGGCCGAGAGUAAGAAGCGCCCUCAACUCCUUCGGCUUGUGCACGCCUGAUGUUCUUGCAACACACCACUCCUUGAGGGUGUCUUGUGUAGUUGGUGUCCACUGCGGUUUCCCAAGGGCUGAGCACAGGGUUCUCCAGACAGUCCUGGCGAACACACACGUUAGAAGAAUGUGGUCUAUGGUUUCCUCCUCUUGGUUACAAAAUGGGCAUGCAUCCUGGUGCGGGAGGCCGCGUCGGGCCAGUCGAUCCGAAGUCCAGCAUCUGUUCCUCAUGGCCAGCCAGGUGAAGAAGCGGCACUUGAGAGGUGCCCUAGAUCUCCAACAAAAGUCCGCCGCAGGCGCCACCUCCCUGCCAGCAAACUGUGCAGCGUAGGCGGAACGGACCGAGAAUUGGCCGUUCGGCUCCCAAGCCCAAACUAUGGAGUCAGGGGUGUGUUCCUGGAGCUGUAUCCCUUGCAAUCUCUGCCAGAUCUCGAGGUACUCCAUGAGAGUUUCGUAAGCCAUGUCAGGGCCGAUAUCGCGAGUCCAAGACCCUAGCGUGAUGGCCUCGUAAACUGUCUGUGUGUCCUUUACUCGCUUCCUUACUCUAUCAUAUAUGCCGGGUGCAAACUCCUGAAUCCUCGCGCCAUGUAGCCAGCGGUCUUCCCAAAAGAGGGCAUCUUUGCCAUUCCCUACUGUCACCUUGGUGGCUGCUGCAACCACCGCAAGAGAAGCCUUGGGGAGGGCAAACUUGAACUCUGCCCAAGGACGAUCCCGGUCCACACGAUGCAACCAAGCCCAACGAGCUUGCAUUGCAACAUUUAGCCACCUAAGGCACGGUAUACCCAGGCCUCCUGCCCAGCGUGGUGUGCACACCUCCUCCCAAGCCACAGAGCAGUGCCCUCCAUUAGCUUGAGCUUUGCCACACCAUAGGAACCCUCUAAUUAUCUUGUUCAUGGCCGCUAUCGUCUUGAUGGGUAGGUCCAGCGCAAUCAUCGCGUGCAGAGGGAUCGAGCAUAGCGCUGAGAGGACCAGAAUGAGUCUGCCACUUUUGGGUAGGGUCGCCCCCUUCCAGGUGGGCAGACGAGUUGCCAGCGUCUCCACCAAUCCGCUUAGUUGUGCCGCUGAGGGUUUCUUCAGACAUAGGGGGAGGCCUAGGUAUUUGCAUGGGAAUGAUCCAAUACUGCAUCCCAGGAUACCUUCCACGCGCGCCACCUCAUCCUCCGAGCAUCGUAUGGGCAUGGCCGAGGUUUUUUGCAUAUUUACCCGGAGGCCAGACGCCAUGCCAUACAUUUGCAAGAUCCUUGAAGUGGUAGUUAGCUCAAGGUCCACCGGUUUGAUGAAAACGAUCACAUCAUCCGCGAAGAUGGACAAGCGGUGCUCAAGACCUGUGCGCGCCAGUGGAGUCAGAAUGCCGAGCUCGGAGGCCAACUUGAAGAGACGGUGCAGUGGCUCCAUGAUAAGAAUGAAGAGCAUCGGCGAUAACGGGCCUCCUUGGCGGAGCCCGCAGCAAUUGAAGAUCGGGGCCCCGGGCACUCCAUUUACCAUGAUGCGGGUGGACGACGUGGAGAGGAGUCCCACUAUCCAAGAUAUCCACCGUGCGCCAAAACCCAUGCGUUGCAGAACUUCGAGAAGAAAGGGCCACUGGACCGUGUCGAAAGCCUUUGAGAUAUCCAAUUUCACCAUCACGGCCGGUUGCUUUAAGGCGUGGAGACGUCGAGCCGUGCAUUGGGCGAGUAUGAAAUUAUCAUGGAGGAAUCGGCCCUUAACAAAGGCACUUUGGUGUUGGCCCACCAAGUGCGGCAGCUCGUUCGUGAGUCGGCAGGCCAAAACCUUGUCGAAGAUUUUUGCCGCGCCAUGUACCAGACUGACCGGACGGUAAUCCUUCAACUCCUCAGCACCAUACUUCUUAGGCAGCAGGGUUACCAGGGCUUUGUUUAGUGCCAACUACAGAGGUCUCGGAAUGGAGGGUUUCCCUAAUGCAAGUACCACCACAAUUACUCCAUUGAAAGCACUUUUUUCCCUUCUUUGUGAUUCUUCGGUACAUAACAGAAAUUAAAUUGCAUUUUAUUUUAAAAAUUGAAGGACGAUCUAUAAGCUCAAUGUGAGAAAUACCAUUUUGAGAUUGUUACUUGCAAGGACAAUGAAAUUCAGCUGCCUUUCGUAACUUCUUUCCUGCAGAAACAUGUAAAUUCUCUAGUUCUUUCCUCCUUACACCAUGUUCUUUGUAGUCAAUAGUGCAAUUAAUUUCAUGUAAUCACAUUUCUGUUUCAGCAGGGUUUCCGCAUAUUCAAGUGAAGCUUUGAAGGCCAAUCAUUUUUUGUCCUGCUUAUGAACUCAUCUUAGGGUCUCAUCACUAUUUUUUAUUGUCAACUUCAAGGGAAAUUGCAGUGCAAGACUUUUUUUGAACUGAAAGGAAUUCUUCCAUGAGGGAAAUGUUUCCUUAAUGAUACAGUUCUAUGUUUUUAUCAUGGUGCCCAGUGAUACUUUCUUGCAUUACUUUCAGUUGCAAAGAAGAUUCAAAACUGCAGAAUUAGUUUGUAAAGAAGCUCUAAGCAUAAUUACUGUUUUUAAAUGUUUCUUCGACCUUUCAGUACUGUUAUU